UUGACUGGGGCGGUCUCCUCCCAAAGAGUAACGGAGGAGCACGAAGGUGGGCUAAUCACGGUUGGACAUCGUGAGGUUAGUGCAAUGGCAUAAGCCCGCUUAACUGCGAGAAUGACGGUUCGAGCAGGUGCGAAAGCAGGUCAUAGUGAUCCGGUGGUUCUGAAUGGAAGGGCCAUCGCUCAACGGAUAAAAGGUACUCCGGGGAUAACAGGCUGAUACCGCCCAAGAGUUCAUAUCGACGGCGGUGUUUGGCACCUCGAUGUCGGCUCAUCACAUCCUGGGGCUGAAGUCGGUCCCAAGGGUAUGGCUGUUCGCCAUUUAAAGUGGUACGCGAGCUGGGUUUAGAACGUCGUGAGACAGUUCGGUCCCUAUCUGCCGUGGGCGUUGGAAGAUUGAAGGGGGCUGCUCCUAGUACGAGAGGACCGGAGUGGACGAACCUCUGGUGUUCGGGUUGUGUCGCCAGACGCAUUGCCCGGUAGCUAAGUUCGGAAUCGAUAACCGCUGAAAGCAUCUAAGCGGGAAGCGAGCCCUGAGAUGAGUCUUCCCUGAUACUUUAAGUAUCCUA
rnacentral:rRNA from 1 species